AUGCUUGCUUCAGCAGCAUAUAUACUAAAAUUGGAAUAAUAUGGAGAUUAGCAUGGCCCCUGUGCAAGGAUGACAUGCAAAUUCAUGAAGUGUUCCAUAUUUUU
ensembl:snRNA U6 U6 spliceosomal RNA